rnacentral:lncRNA from 1 species
UCUAGUUCAUAUCAUCCAACUCUAAGGUUUCCACUACCUUAGGUUUAUCACAUUUACCACUAGCCCUCAAGGUUCUAUCUACCUUAUUCCAGCUAGCCACCCGACUCGGCCUCGAGUCAAUCAACAGCGGAUAAUCCGCGCUCUGCCCGGCUCGAGGUGAAGGAUCCUGUCGCAUGCACCUCAGCCUGCAAGCCAAGAACCACAUCGCCCAACGGUCCGCCCGAAGGUCCGUGCACCGUGGUCAGGGAUCCGUUAGUGGGAGAGGAAACAUAGCCGCGUACACCCAUAGCCAAGAUCCCCGAUAGGGAGAGGAACAUGCCGUACACCCUAGCGCUCUUUGUUCUUGCUUAGUCAUAAUCCUCAAAGUUCUUUCCGGUGGGAGAGGAACAUCGCCGCAUACACCCG